rnacentral:rRNA from 1 species
GAUCAUGGCUCAGGAUGAACGCUGGCUACAGGCUUAACACAUGCAAGUCGAGGGGGCAGCAUGGUCUUAGCUUGCUAAGGCCGAUGGCGACCGGCGCACGGGUGAGUAACGCGUAUCCAACCUGCCUUACACUCUUGGACAGCCUUCUGAAAGGGAGAUUAAUACAAGAUGUUAUCAUGGGUAAGCAUUUUCGCAUGAUUAAAGGUUUACCGGUGUAAGAUGGGGAUGCGUU